rnacentral:misc_RNA from 1 species
CAGCAAUUGUGGGGGCUGUUAUGAGGGAAAUAGCGAAUUCUCAACAUGCUGCAAGAUCUUGGUAGCAUCGUGUUGUUUUUUCAGUUUUAAGGGGCUGGUUAUUGUGGUAACUUAGCAACGAUUCACUCACUUAUCCUUCACAUACUCAUUUCUUCAUUUGGACUAGUUGCUUCCUGCAAAGGAACCGAAACCCGAACCAAAGUCUUGACGAAUUGAAUUAAAAUCUAAGUACAGAGAACCAAAUCAAAACUGAAAAGUCAAAGAACCGAAUCGGAGUUUGUACAAAAAAUUCAGCAUGGUUCCAGU